rnacentral:rRNA from 1 species
GGGACCUUCGGGCCCAUCGCUUGUAGAUAAGCCUGCAUCUGAUUAGUUAGUUGGUAGGGUAACGGCCUACCAAGACCGCUAUCAGUAGCUGUUCUAAGAGGAAGAUCAGCCACAUUGGGACUGAGAUACGGGCCAGACUCCUACGGGAGGCAGCAGUGAGGAAUUUUGCGCAAUGGGAGAGAUCCUGACGCAGCAACGCCGCGUGACCGAUUGAAGCUUUUAGGAGUGUAAAGGUCUGUCGUGAGGGAAGAAAAAGACCGAGAAUAAUAAGUUCGGUAAUUGACGGUACCUCACAAGCAAGCUCCGGCUAACUUCGUGCCAGCAGCCGCGGUAAUACGAUGGGAGCAAGCGUUGUCCGAAAUAACUGGGCGUAAAGGGUACGUAGGCUUAUCCGUAUGUUUCCGGUGAAAUUCACAGGCUCAACUUGUGACUUGCCGGACAAACUGCAGAGAUUGAAUCCGGAAGGGGAAAGCGGAAUUCCUGGUGUAGCGGUGAAAUGCGUAGAUAUCAGGAGGAACACCAGUGGCGAAGGCGGCUUUCUGGUCCGGAAUUGACGCUGAGGUACUAAAGCGU